CCGAAAGCGUGCCCGGUGCGCUUUGCACAAGUGGUGCGGUCCGUUAGAGGCAAAAAACGUGCUGAAGGGCAUAUCACCAUCUCUACUUGUAAGACUCACCAGUAUUUUCUGAGGAGAUCAAUAUCUAAUCCUUGAAAAGGGAGGGACAGUGCUACCUGCCAUCUGUCAGCCUGCCAGAAAUUCUUGUGCCUAUCAGAGCAAGAGCUAAGGAUGUGACAUCUUUCUCCAUCAUCUUCUCAGAAUAUCCCUGAUUCAACGCAGGAGGCAUCAAAUGCCCACCAAAAUCACAACGUGGUAACUACAAUACCAACAAAUUUCACACGUGUCUAGAAAUGGCCGCGCCUCCACCAUAGCUGCAGCUCUACAACAUGAAUGACACAGGUGAGAGCAACAGAGGUCAGCCCCACAGAAACCAGAGGAGACAUGGGACAUCCAUGCUACAGUGGCCAACUCAGUGCUGUCAGAACUACUUGCCUGUGGCACGGAACAGCAAUCCCCAGCAGCAGCAGGGAUGAUGAUGUUUUCAGGAGCCGCAAGCAGCAUGCCUCCUAUACCAUUUCCACUCUGAGUGGCAGGCUGAUGGCCUCCCUGGCGCCCACAGAACUCACUUAGCAAACUCAGAAAGCUGUAAAUUCAGCUCAUGCCCUUCCCUGCUCGCAAGGGUCAAAACCAGACAGCAUUGGUCCCCACUGAAAUAGCCAGUGUGGCACUCAGAGAAGGGAUUCAUCUUCUCCUUCAGACAUGCAGUAGGUCCAGAUCAAGCAACUCCCUUCCAGAGCCAAACCUGCCCUCCCUGACACAACUGGACAUAGACAAAGGCUACCAUCACUUCACUGCAGUGAAGCAAAUCUUCAGCCCUUCACAACCUGAUUCACGCUACCAUGCAGAUGUUAAACAAUUUUAAAGAACUCUAGGGUAAUCUUCUUCUUAAAGUAUAUAGAGUGAACAAGCCAACUGAUCUCUUUUUUGUUUUGGACUUCUCAAUAGCAUGUCAUCACUUGAUCACCAUCAGACCUCACCUGCUCACCACAGGGAGAGUAUUCCAAAAGUGCAGACUGCAGAUGCCAGUACUGUAUGUGUAAGAACUGCUGUUGCAAGUAACUAUCACGUGUUCUUGGAGCAGGAAGACGAUGCUUUACUCAUGCAAUGGUUUAUGUCUUGUGCAGUAAUUUCCCCUUCUCUUGUUUCGGAGAUACAGAAUGAAAUUAAAGGUCUUCCAAGAAAUAAAACAAAUUGAACGAAAUGGGAACAGCUUGUGCGGGAGGAGAUGUCUUAGUCUACCUGGUUCCCUGUGAUCUCAGAGCAGGAGAUGAAAAUGCCAAAUGCAUGUGCAUGUUGUAUGCUGCUUUCACCUUGACAGACCUCCAAACAACCAGCCACUUCAGGAGCAUAUCUACCAGAGUACAAGUCUUCCCAGACUGUGUCAGUUCUGCAGACCUCCUAUAGAAGAUGAAUUCCCAAAUUGUUGGUUCUGGUAGCAGAAAGGCUGGUGUCAUGAAUCAGCCUACAACCUGGAAAUGUUGUCACUGAACGGAAACAAGGUCUUGAAACAAAGUCUUUACUAUCAGAUCUGAAAAGUACAGAAAGUCAGUUGGCUUUACCUUGCUUUGGCCCUUGCUUACUGCAAUCCUCAGAUACACAGAGUAGCCAACAGUGGUUUUCAUGCGCUGGAAACCUUGACAAGUGUCCCAGCAGUUUGCUGAAGCAGUCAGGACCCUGACUCUACAGCAGUGCAGUUUGACAUGACAAGGUUCCUCAGAACUCCCACAACAGGUUCAGACCUAUAUGAACAAUGUAGGCUGUCACACACCACAUGGAGAGGGCAAGGGAACAAGGGCAAGACAAGGAGGACCAGCAGCACAGACAGCACAGGCCUUGCCACACAGAGGGACCUGUAAGCAGUUGGUGGAGGAAGCAUGGCUUCACAUGAAGAUGGAGAUCUGUAUCUAGGGAUCUUCACAGCUAAAGGAGACAAUAAGCUAUUGUGCUUGAGACAUAGCUUGUUUGCCAUUACUUACAAAUCGGUCAUGUGAUGCUGUCAUCCUGAAUUUCAGUUUCCCUGGCAUCCAGCUCACUCAGUCCUGUCACAAAACCAACCCCAGGGCCCCGUAUGUGCCCUGGGUCAUGGCCUUCUGAGGAAUGGGAGAAUGGUGCUGGGCUCCACAAAAUAUGUCAGACAGAGAAGGAGUGGCAGGUAAAGCCUUAGGCUGGCAUCUCCCCACUUUCCUUUGUACCAUGUAGACCCUUACCAAGCAGGGGUACCAGAAGUCACAGCAUAAUUUACAAGACCAGAGUGGGAACAUUCCUAGUUCAUCGUAGCUUCACAAGCAUGCUGAGUAGUAUUUCUGGUUGUACAAGGGGGAAGGACAUCUUCCCUCAUCUACCAUAUUCAAUAAACUCGUGUUUCC
ensembl:lncRNA